rnacentral:tRNA from 1 species
GCUCGGAUGGUGUAGUUGGUUGUACGUUCGCCCUUGUAUUGGAAUGCAAGCAAGCAGUUACUAAUAAUGAUAUAGAUCACGUCAGUCUAACACACUGAAGGUCCUGAGUUCAAGUCUCAGUCCGAGUA